rnacentral:rRNA from 1 species
UACGUAGGGCGCAAGCGUUAUCCGGAAUUACUGGGCGUAAAGAGCUCGUAGGUGGUUUGUCGCGUUGUUCGUGAAAACUCACAGCUCAACUGUGGGCGUGCGGGCGAUACGGGCAGACUAGAGUGCGGUAGGGGAGACUGGAAUUCCUGGUGUAGCGGUGAAAUGCGCAGAUAUCAGGAGGAACACCGGUGGCGAAGGCGGGUCUCUGGGCCGUAACUGACGCUGAGGAGCGAAAGCGUGGGGAGCGAACAGG